rnacentral:tRNA from 1 species
GCUCUAGUAGUGCAGUUGGUUAGUGUACGGUACUUAUACAGCAGUUCAAUGCAGAAGGAUGCUGAGGUUGAGAGUUCAAGCCUCACCUGGAGCA